rnacentral:rRNA from 1 species
UUCGGUAACGAUAGCCUAGAGGUCACACCCGUUCCCAUUCCGAACACGAAGGUUAAGCUCUAGAACGCCAAUGGUACUAACAGGGUGACUUGUUGGGAGAGUAGGAAGUUGCCGAUU